CAAGUCGAACGGCAGCGCGGGGGCAACCCUGGCGGCGAGUGGCGGACGGGUGAGGAAUGCAUAGGAAUCUGCCCGGUUGUGGGGGAUAACGUAGGGAAACUUACGCUAAUACCGCAUACGACCUUCGGGUGAAAGUGGGGGACCUUCGGGCCUCACGCGAUCGGAUGAGCCUAUGCCCGAUUAGCUAGUUGGCGGGGUAAGAGCCCACCAAGGCGACGAUCGGUAGCUGGUCUGAGAGGAUGAUCAGCCACACUGGGACUGAGACACGGCCCAGACUCCUACGGGAGGCAGCAGUGGGGAAUAUUGGACAAUGGGCGCAAGCCUGAUCCAGCAAUGCCGCGUGUGUGAAGAAGGCCUUCGGGUUGUAAAGCACUUUUGUUCGGGAAGAAAUCCGUGGGACUAAUACUCUUACGGGAUGACGGUACCGAAAGAAUAAGCACCGGCUAACUUCGUGCCAGCAGCCGCGGUAAUACGAAGGGUGCAAGCGUUAAUCGGAAUUACUGGGCGUAAAGCGUGCGUAGGCGGUUUGUUAAGUCAGAUGUGAAAGCCCUGGGCUCAACCUGGGAACUGCAUUUGAUACUGGCAGGCUAGAGUACGGUAGAGGGUGGUGGAAUUCCCGGUGUAGCGGUGAAAUGCGUAGAGAUCGGGAGGAACAUCCGUGGCGAAGGCGGCCACCUGGACCAGUACUGACGCUGAGGCACGAAAGCGUGGGGGAGCAAACAGGAUUAGAUACCCUGGUAGUCCACGCCCUAAACGAUGCGAACUGGACGUUGGGCUCACUUUGGAGCUCAGUGUCGAAGCUAACGCGUUAAGUUCGCCGCCUGGGGAGUACGGUCGCAAGACUGAAACUCAAGGAAUUGACGG
rnacentral:rRNA from 1 species